rnacentral:lncRNA from 1 species
ACUUUAGAAAAGCAUCUGGAUGCCCACGCCACCACCCUCCCAGCCACCUCUGAAGUUGCCAGGCUUCCCAACAUUCUUGUCUGUGAUAUUAAAGCCAUGACAGCAAACAGCCCCUUUCUCCUAAGGUUCCUGAUUUGAAGUGGCAAAACAAGGCAGUGGCAUAGUCUCCUGUCCUAUGUCCUUGGCAUGCAGUUGGCUUCAGGUCACAUGUUGCUCUGGAGAACCGAGAAGGGUGAGCAGACACCAAUCAUGACCCCAAACAGCAAGAGGACAGAAGGGAUCCCCCCUACUCCACAGCUUGACGGCAGAGCAGUGACCAGAAUAUAUGCUCAGGAAGGCCAAAGAGAUGAAGCCGCAGCUGCCUCUUUUUUUUUUUUGAGACAGUCUCAUUCUGUUGCCCGGGCUGGAGUGCAGUGGUGCGAUCUCGGCUCACUGUAACCUCCACCUCCCAGGUUCAAGCAAUUCUCGUACCUCAGCCUCCCAGGUAGCUGGAACUAUACAGGUGUACCAUCACACCCGGCUAAUUAUUUUUUGUCUUUUUUUGUAGAGAUGGGGUUUCGCCAUGUUGGUCAGGCUGGUCUCGAACUCCUGGCCUCAGGUGAUCCACGCACCUCCGCCUCCCAAAGUCCUGGGAUUAGAGGCGUGAGCCACCGUGCCCAGCCAGGCUUGCUUCUCUGAGCCAUACCCUUCUGUUGGAACAAGCAUCCUUUCUAUUAAAAGCAAUAAAUCUCCUCUUAUUUAAGUGGCAGAUGGUUUAGAUUGUUACUUUUGCUUUCAGCGAUCCUCUAGAAAAAGAAGGAACUUUAAGGUUGAGAACUAACUUCUAGCAGCUAUGCAGAAGUUCUGAGAGGUGACUCGUGUUUUUUACAUCAAGACCUCCACAAAGGCCCCUUCUGUCAUUGAGUCAAAGUUCUAGCGACCUAGGUUCAUCCUCAAAUGUGUAAUGAAAACCUGUAAAUCACUUGGACUCC